rnacentral:piRNA from 1 species
UGCUAAAGGUAAAGACAUGACCCAUUUGAC